rnacentral:piRNA from 1 species
UGGUGUCCUUGUGAAUUCCUUAGAUGGGU